rnacentral:rRNA from 1 species
AGAGUUUGAUCAUGGCUCAGAUUGAACGCUGGCGGCAGGCCUAACACAUGCAAGUCGAACGGUAACAGGAAGCAGCUUGCUGCUUUGCUGACGAGUGGCGGACGGGUGAGUAAUGUCUGGGAAACUGCCUGAUGGAGGGGGAUAACUACUGGAAACGGUAGCUAAUACCGCAUAACGUCGCAAGACCAAAGAGGGGGACCUUCGGGCCUCUUGCCAUCGGAUGUGCCCAGAUGGGAUUAGCUAGUAGGUGGGGUAACGGCUCACCUAGGCGACGAUCCCUAGCUGGUCUGAGAGGAUGAGCAGCCACACUGGAACUGAGACACGGUCCAGACUCCUACGGGAGGCAGCAGUGGGGAAUAUUGCACAAUGGGCGCAAGCCUGAUGCAGCCAUGCCGCGUGUAUGAAGAAGGCCUUCGGGUUGUAAAGUACUUUC